rnacentral:lncRNA from 10 species
CUCCGCGACGUCCGCGCGCCUUGAAGGCCGCAGCGCCAGCCGGCUCCCUCCGCCGGGGAAAGGAGUGCGGCCAGGGCUUGGCGCCCGCAGCUGGGCAGAUCCUCGGCCGCUCCUGAGGCGGGGACGAAGGGCGCGACCCGCUGCGGCCACAGCGGGUUACGGGCUGCGGGCUCCGUUCUGGGCCUGGGGAGCAGAUUCGAGCCGACCACGCCCCGGGCUCCAGGCCGCUGGGAGGCGGACUUCAGAGAAGCGGGUCUUGAACCCCAGCUGCAGGCAGGACGGGAUUAUCUGCGCAGGGUAGACCCCCAGAUUCCUGCCAGAGCAAAGGAGCAACUGCUACUCCAGGCUUUGCCCGCGCUCUGGAAAACCAGAGUUCACGCUGCCAAACUGCCAGCCUUCGGACGCCUCUCGGGGUUUACUCGCUUAGGAUCCCUAGAGGGACGGUGACAGGCGGGAUUCUGCACCUUUUGGGGGUCCCUUGACUGCGAGAAGCUGGUGACAGCUCAGGGCCCUCUUCGCAGAGAAUCGUUUCUGCACACCGACUCAGAAUCGCACACGUUUUCAAGGUUCUCCUGGGAGCUCCUAGUGUCAGGCUAGUUUGACCUCGGGCUUACUUCACAUGGCCGAAGGGAGCUUUCUUUUCUACCUGAUUGUUAAAGCUGUCCAAGUGACAAGGAACAGAUUGUCAGGUUUCCCGCAAAGAAGUGUCUUAUGAAACCAUUUAAUAAACAAUAUGCUUGAAACUACCA